rnacentral:lncRNA from 1 species
CGGGGCCCUCGGGGCUGCCCGAGCGGGGAUGGCAGCGGAGCAGCCCCCGAGGGUUUCAUCCUCACGGGCUUCAUCUUCACAGGAGCACCGGGCAGAUGCAGCGGGGCAGACGGAGGGAAGGGAAGGGCUGGCCAAAAGCACCCGCGAUCCCGGCGGAGUGGAGACACAACCGGGGCAGCACAUGGGGAGGGCAGGAAUGAGGUUUCCGUAUUGGCCAGGCAGGCGGGAGAAGGGAGAGGAACAGCAAAUUGCCCGGUUUAUUUCGUGUGCUGAUGACGACCAAAUCCUAAAGCCUUUUCUCAGGGAAAAGCCUGUUGAAUUUCAGUGUUUCCUCCUAGGCUGGGCUUUGGUUUGAGACUUAAGGACAAGUUGCAAGCCCUCCCAGUUGCAGCAGGCAGCAAAUGCCUCAGUUUGUUCCUGCUUUGUGAAGAAUAUUUGCUGACCAUCAAAAUGCAAGGGUUGCUGCUUGUUUUGACGAUUUUUUGGGCGUGCUUCCUGCUUUUGAAAGUCCUGAAGUCACAAUUUACCUGGCUGUGUCUUUGCAGGAGGCCAGUUUUACUUGGCAGCAGAAGGUGUGACUUGGUAGCACGACAGUUCUUUUUUGUUGUCGCCUUGCCAGCGUUCCAUAGCUCUGCAGGCUUGUUUCCCUGUCAGUGUUCAGCAGUUCUCCAGGUUACAGUUAAUAUUGGAAUGGUUACCCUGAGCAAGUCCCUGUGCCACUUUGACAGUGGCCUAGGAGAUGCCUGGAACCUGAAAACUGAAGUUAGAGGACUUGUGCUUUCAUCUGUGCUGUGGGUGACCAGUGUCUUUGGGGCAAUGCAGAGCCAGCACAGAAAGCUUCCAGAAUAACAG